GUGUCAGCAGCCGCGGUAAUACGAAGGUGGCAAGCGUUACUCGGAAUUACUAGGCGUAAAGCGCAGGUAGGCGGUUUGAUAAGUCUUUUGUGAAAGCUCCCGGCUUAACUGGGAGAGGUCAAAGGAAACUGUCAGGCUAGAGUGUGGUAGAGGAUGCUGGAAUUCCCGGUGUAGCGGUGAAAUGCGUAGAGAUCGGGAGGAAUACCUAUGGCGAAAGCAGGCAUCUGGGCCAUCACUGACGCUGAGCUGCGAAAGCUAGGGGAGCAAACAGGAUUAGAUACCCCCGUAGUCC
rnacentral:rRNA from 1 species